rnacentral:rRNA from 1 species
GAUGAACGCUAGCGGGAGGCUUAACACAUGCAAGUCGAGGGGCAGCACGAGGUAGCAAUACUUUGGUGGCGACCGGCGCACGGGUGAGUAACGCGUAUGUAACCUACCUUGUACAGGGGGAUAGCCCGGAGAAAUUCGGAUUAAUACCCCAUAAUGAUAUCGAGAGGCAUCUUUUGAUAUUUAAAGUUUCGACGGUACGAGAUGGGCAUGCGUGACAUUAGCUAGUUGGUAAGGUAACGGCUUACCAAGGCUUCGAUGUCUAGGGGUCCUGAGAGGGUGAUCCCCCACACUGGUACUGAGACACGGACCAGACUCCUACGGGAGGCAGCAGUGAGGAAUAUUGGUCAAUGGGGCGUAAGCCUGAACCAGCCAUCCCGCGUGAAGGAAGAAGGCGCUAUGCGUCGUAAACUUCUUUUCCAGAGGAAGUAAAAUUUCGUACGUGUACGGAACUGAAGGUACUUUGGGAAUAA